UUAAUUUCCUGUUAGAGUUCAAGAAGAGAGGGAUGGGUAGAAAUCAGGGUGUCCAUGGAGUAAAGACUCUUUGGAACUUCGUCUGAAGCCCAAACGAGAGAGAGCAAAGGGGACGAAGGACUCCCAUCUCACUUCACUCAGUCUUCUUCCAAAUGCGCUCUCUCCCUCUCUUACAUAUCUCUCUUUCCAAAAAUUGCUCCUCCAUGCCGGAGGCGGAGGAGCCACCCCGAAAUACCACAACCACCAAACUGGGUUCUGUUUCACCUCCUUUAUUCAAUUCCUCAACCCAUUUCCCUAAAAACUCACUACAACUCUUGAAACAAAAAAAACCUCAAGAACCUUAGGUUUUUACUUUCGAAAUUAAAUGAUGACCUUACAUUAACUUGAACCAAAACCUUAGGGCUUUGAUUCCCCACCACCAGUUCUACAACAUGGUAACCAUUUUUUUUUGUCAAUUAACUAACAAAAAAAAUGCUAAUGACAGUUAGAGGUAAGAGUUGAUUAACUGCCACGUUAAUGCUAAUUGACAGUUAGUUAAUUGUUUAGAGAAUUGGUUAAAAGUUAGUAGUGAUUAGUUAGCUUUGGUAGUCAAUAGAAGUAGAAAGUAGAAGUUUAAAAUUGGUGUUUCAGUUAGUUAUGGAAAGAGAGAGAAAUAGUUCGGAUAGUUAACUUGUUAGAGGAAGUUGGAACCGUUAGAGUUUUAUAAGUUAUGAAUUUUUUUGAACUGUUAGUGUGAAAUGAAUUGGCUGCUAGCAAAAUUAACAAUUAGUUAGCUACUUAAUUAAUUAAUCAUGUUAGAACAAAUUACUAAAGAUGAAAGGAAGCAUUAUUAGAGCUAGGGCAAUGUUAAUUGGUUAGAAAGUGUGAAUGGUUAGGGGAAUGUGAGCUCAUGAUAUAUGAAUGAAAGUCAGUUCAUGUUAUGUGACUUAUACUCAUUUUUUUUAUGUCAAGUUGGUUAACCUUGCCGAUUUUGAUAAUUUGCAUGUUAAUUGGCUCAAAAACAGACCUAACAUGUUACCCUAGCAGUUGAGAAUCAGGUUUCUUGUACAAGUUGAAUUGGGGAAAUGAUGGUUGCGCUUGGCUAUGAUAAUUGGUCUGUUAAGUGAUUGAAUGGUGAAUUACAUUACAUGUCUUGGACUUAUGUGCUUAUGGUAUGCCUGUUGUGGAUUAUAAUGUGCAUUAUGUGUAUGUGUAGGCAUGGAUUGUCAUGGCUUGAUUUGUAGGCUGAUGUAAAUUUGGGUAGGGUGAACAAAUCAAGGUUUUGCAUGAUUUAAUCAAGGUUUGGCAUGGCAUUUUAUCAUGGUGGAGGCUAGGUAUGGAAGUGAACAUGAAAAGAACUUGAAGAACUUGGAGGCACACAAAAUAUAAGAUCUUAAGGAUGAAGAAAAAAUAAAAUUAGGGUUAGUUUGACCUAGGUCAACAGUUUGAUCAAAAGUUAACUAUUUGACCACACACGAUUCAGCUUGACUUGCAUCAAUAUGGACUACAUUGUUCUCAGCUACAACAUUGUUCACAACUUGACUUGCA